UACGUAGGGGGCAAGCGUUGUCCGGAUUUAUUGGGCGUAAAGCGCUCGCAGGCGGUCCGAUGCGUCGUGCGUGAAAGACCCCGGCUCAACCGGGGAGGGUCGUGCGAUACGGUCGGACUCGAGGCCAGUAGGGGGACGCGGAAUUCCGGGUGUAGUGGUGGAAUGCGUAGAGAUCCGGAGGAACACCAGCGGCGAAGGCGGCGUCCUGGACUGGUACUGACGCUCAGGAGCGAAAGCGUGGGGAGCGAUCCGGAUUAGAUACCCGGGUAGUCCACGCCGUAAACGAUGAGCACUAGGUGUCGGGGGUAUCGACCCCCUCGGUGCCGCAGCUAACGCGAUAAGUGCUCCGCCUGGGGACUACGGCCGCAAGGCUAAA
rnacentral:rRNA from 1 species